GAUAAAUCAAAUCGUUUUGUGACUUCAAAUGUUGCUACUCUUAAUUAUUUUUGUGUAUAUCAGCAAUUUGAAAAAUAUAGUUUGUAGUGUAAUAGGAAAGCCAUUUUGCUAUAUAUAGAUGUGUUGGAUUUUAUUUUUUACGCAAGCAUUUGGUGACUGAAUUUUUCCAUUUGAAGGUUAUGACUAAGGACUGGCCUAUGGAAGUAUAUCUUACAAAUUUUAAAAAUGAGCAGUUCUGGUUUGGUAUUGAACUUACGUUUUCUGGACAAAUUACAAAACAUCUGAACAACCCUUCACCUCGUGGGAGGACUCCCUGAAACUGGAGCCCCCAAUGUCGCCGGCGAUGCAUCGAUGCUGCAGUGACUAGACAUCUAAAAACCGACAACACCUUUAGGCCUGGUGGCCAGAACAUCCACGUCGCCAGAGCCAGGGCAGAAACAACAGCAAGACACCAAGAACCCGCAGACAAAUACCAAAUGCCAUCGACAAGUAUAAUCUCUGAUCUGUAAAGUUUCGGCAAGGUCUUGUAUAUUAUUCUUUAAUACAUUAAUUAUGUCUUUUAUGAAAAAUAAACAUGAUUAGUUAAA
rnacentral:lncRNA from 1 species